UGUUUCAUGAAAUAUUAUGUAUAUGUGCAUGACGAGUUUGGGAUAUGUUUUGUGCAAAGUUUUCAUGAAAAUGAGUGAGUUAACCUAGAUAAGGCAUCAAGAUAAGCUAACGUAUGUAAAAUGCAUAAUCCCUAGUUCGAUUUUGCGUUGUAAGUCCGGAAAUAGGUUGACCUAGAGACCUUAAGUAGACAACGGUUUUCGUUAUCCAUGAUACGUGCUAAGUGUUAAGAACUCGUCUUGUAGGAAUUGGUCCACAGGACGGUGUCACAGCUUAAGAUCAUCUCUAUCUUCCGCACCGAAGAUCAGGUUGAUGGCUGGUGUUGACGGGGAGAGCUGAGGCUAGGGUUCAACUCCGUGUUUUGACUUCCGCUGUAGUACUAGCCUUUAUCUGUCUUUCGUUCUCUUGACUUAAGACCUUUAUGUUAUGACUCUAAACGAUAUCUUUUGUUGAGCCUAGACUUUUGACUCUCAAGUAUUUUGAUUAAGGAAUGUUGGUUAUCUGAAGCAUGAAACUAAACUUGUGAUCCUGACGUUUGUCAUGUUUGUUGAUUGAUUUGUAUCAAUUGGAUACUUGUCUUUCUUCAUCUAAAGGGGCGAUGCCCGAUUGUUAUCCCUUCAA